rnacentral:snoRNA from 1 species
UCAUCAGUAGGAUAAUUCUUCCCUGUUCUUCUCUUCAGAAAGCAGAUAGAACACAAUGAACUGUUAAUCACAUUUGAUUUGUGAUUAACUUCUCUGCGUGAUUAGGGUUCACAGUACCCUAAUCUCUCCUAUUCAAC